UAAGGUAGAGGUGCGGCUGAGAUAAGUACCUGCUGUCGGGAAAACCAUUCCAAUGGACUGCAGCGAAAGGUGAUGCCGCCGAAGAGCAGUUUCCGGUAAAUUCUGCUCUGGUCAUUUGUUUAAGAGACAUCUGACUGUCAUCAUACAUUGAUGAAGAGCUAUCGG
rnacentral:ncRNA from 1 species